rnacentral:rRNA from 1 species
GAACGGCAGCACAGGAGAGCUUGCUCCCUGGGGUGGCGAGUGGCGGACGGGUGAGGAAUACAUCGGAAUCUACUCUGUCGUGGGGGAUAACGUAGGGAAACUUACGCUAAUACCGCAUACGACCUACGGGUGAAAGCAGGGGACCUUCGGGCCUUGCGCGAUUGAAUGAGCCGAUGUCGGAUUAGCUAGUUGGCGGGGUAAAGGCCCACCAAGGCGACGAUCCGUAGCUGGUCUGAGAGGAUGAUCAGCCACACUGGAACUGAGACACGGUCCAGACUCCUACGGGAGGCAGCAGUGGGGAAUAUUGGACAAUGGGCGCAAGCCUGAUCCAGCCAUACCGCGUGGGUGAAGAAGGCCUUCGGGUUGUAAAGCCCUUUUGUUGGGAAAGAAAUCCAGCUGGCUAAUACCCGGUUGGGAUGACGGUACCCAAAGAAUAAGCACCGGCUAACUUCGUGCCAGCAGCCGCGGUAAUACGAAGGGUGCAAGCGUUACUCGGAAUUACUGGGCGUAAAGCGUGCGUAGGUGGUCGUNUAAGUCCGUUGUGAAAGCCCUGGGCUCCACCUGGGAACUGCAGUGGAUACUGGGCGACUAGAGUGUGGUAGAGGGUAGCGGAAUUCCUGGUGUAGCAGUGAAAUGCGUAGAGAUCAGGAGGAACAUCCAUGGCGAAGGCAGCUACCUGGACCAACACUGACACUGAGGC